AAAGCAUUCUUCCACUGAUGCUCGGGUGGGAAUCCUUUGUGAAACUUUGGCUGGCAUUAGAAUUAUCAAGUUCAAUGGUUGGGUUCCUUUGUUUAUGAAAAAAAUCAAUAGUGCUCGUGCUGGUGAAAUGAAGUGGGUUUCCAAGUUGGCUAUGAUCAGUACAAUCAUGUAUAUUUUGAAGGAUUCAAUUGUUCCAUUUGCAUGCAUAUUUGCUUUUGGUGCUUAUAUCAUUCAUCAUAAAAUGCUUGAUGUGACAA